rnacentral:tRNA from 1 species
UAGAUUGAAGCCAGAAAUAGGGUAUUUAGCUGUUAACUAAAAUUUCGUGGGUUUGAGUCCCACCAAUCUAG